CAGUUAGCUCCCAGCCACUGGGAAACACAGUGGAGGCUCCUCGGAGGCUUGGGGGGACCUGACCCAGCACCCCUCCCAGGGAUACCAGGUGACCCAGCACCCCGUUCCAGGGAUACCAGGUGACCCAGCACCCCGUCCCAGGGAUACCAGAUGACCCAGCACCCCUCCCAGGGAUACCAGGUGACCCAGCGCCCCAUCCCAGGGAUACACCCAGUGGGGAGAUGAUGACCUCUCAGAGCACAUCUGGCUGUGCAGAGCAGCAUCCCUCAUCAGAGCCAAAGGGGGGAACAACCUAAUUCCCCCAAGUACUAAAUGAAUACACAAAAUGUCUACCAUACAAUGGAAAGGUAUUUGGCCCUAAAAAUGGAAUGAAGUUCUGACACGUGCUACAAUAGGGGUGAACCUUGAAAACAUGAUGCUCAGUGGAAGGAGCCAGUCAUAAAAGAUGGCACAUCAUAUGAUCUGUCUAGACAAAAUACCAGUAGAGGCAGAAAGAAUCGUGACCUACCCCCUCAAAACGUGCCGGUGUCUCAUGUAGGCUGUUGGCCGAAGUAGCCGAAGGAAAGGUGCCGCCUCGGUGACUCCAAGCGGGAGUCGCAGUCACGUACCCAACACGAUCUCUACCAUUUUCAUCCCUUAGGUGACUCACCGAGGGUGCCCACAAGCUGGUUUGCCAUAAUCCCUAAGUCCGGAGUGGACAUAGUUUCCUGUUCCACCUUGGUCCUGUUAGCGGCGAGAGAACGAUCCCGGUGCAGCCUGCUAGUAAACACGGACACGAUGCUGCCGGGUUGGAUUCAGCAUCCACAGGGAGACCAGGGUGGCCUUUGAAGACAGUGUAGAGUCAGGGUGCUCCCAUUGAGCUGGUUUCAUCCAGCAUUUGGUCUGACCCUCAGCAGCAAGCAUGUGGACCAAUUGAUACAAAUCUGAGAAAUCAGAUCAGGCCGGCAAGAGAGCAGCAAGCCUGACCAGGUCUGUGGGGACCGGCACCUGUGUGUGUGCUCACCAGCCUCAGAACCGCUGGAGGUAGCUGCCUGCGUCCCACUUCUGACACCAGCUGUGCAUUCCUGGCUCCCCGCCCACCGCCCACCUGCGGGAUCCGUCAGCCUCCUGGGAGGCCAGGCGUCGGCAGCUGUGCCAGGAAACGCAGCGCGGGAGGUGCACUCGGGGCCAUGGGCCGGUGCCAGGGACCCUGUGUAGGAUGGUGUCGGGGCCCACCCUGCUUGUCAGCUGCAGAGCCAACAGGAGGAGACACGGCUCACAGGUGGACGCUGCUUUACAGCCUGAGAGGAGGAGACGACAGCCCCGCCCCGGCCAGCUCCCGGGGCACUCUGUGGACUCGCAUUUACAGCGGCCCCUUUCUCCGGGAGACUUUGCUCUCUGCGGCUCCAGAGACUUGCCUGUCCCAGACGGUGACCGUCUGCUCUUCCCAAGUAAAGUCAUUCUGCUGGUAAAACA